CGCAACUGAAGUGACUUAACAGCAGCUGGCUUCUAUCAGGAGGAGAGGCACAGGUUUCCAAGAAUAAACAACUUUUAAAGGGAAUGAUACAAACUACUAUGAUACUAAGUAAUGAUUUUUGUAACUAGUCUGUGGCUUCUCCCUUACCUAGGUCUCUAGGAGAAUCACACUCUUAUUAUUGAGCAGAAGGGGGUUGGAUUUCUUCCUGUUCUGUUCCCACCCUCCCAUGUCAGACCCCAACAAGGGUCCUUUGCCAGGUGUGGCUUGUUCCAAUAGAACGUGCUCUGGAGCACAUGCUCUCCCCUAAAUGCCCUCUACAGGGCUGCUGCUUGUGGUUCAUGUGAGUGGAGAGGGGCGGAGUUCUCUCGAGUCCAGGCUCAGCUGUGUAGCUACGUGCCCAGUUCUCAGUACCAGGUGCAUCGCCUCUGCCCACCGCCCCCUGACCGCCAUCUUGAAUCACAGCACUGGGAGCAGCGUCUCUGCACAGGGCUCUGAGCUGAGGUGUCACUGGAGCCGUUUCUCCCCAAGGAAUCUUCUCUGAAGGGCCAGGGAUGUGAGGCCUCUGCAGGAGGUGACCUGUGAGCAAGUGAAAGUCAACUCAGCACAAAGGGAAAGAAAAAAGGUUUGCAGAAGACUGACUCCCUGGUUCUGGCUAAGUUUGUCCUCUGAGCAGCCUUCGUGACCACCCAGUUUAAAUCAGGGCUUGCCAGCCAUCUCCAGCCACUCUCACUUCCUGUUCUUCAUAUUCCUCAUCAAACCUGAUAGUAUCUUGUUCAUACAUUUACUUUUUUACCAUCUAUCUCCCACUACUUCAAUGUAAACACCAUGAGAAGAUAAACCUUACAUAUCUUGUAGGUUGUUGAUUCCCAGUGCUUUGAAGGGUAGAUGUAUGAUAGAUGUUCAAAAGUACUUGUUUAAAAAUAAUUCAUAAUUUGUUCAAUCAUGUUGCUAUUGCUAAACUUAGAAGUUAGGAUAUUUCUAAAUCCUAUUACAAUUUAAUAAUAACCACUGCCCUGAGAAACAUUUGUAUAUAAAUAAAAUUGUGCAUAAAUAGU